rnacentral:piRNA from 1 species
UGGCUGCCUCUCACUCUGCAUACCUGAC